UGGGGAAUAUUGCACAAUGGGCGCAAGCCUGAUGCAGCAACGCCGCGUGAGGGACGACGGCCUUCGGGUUGUAAACCUCUUUUAGUAGGGAAGAAGCGAAAGUGACGGUACCUGCAGAAAAAGCACCGGCUAACUACGUGCCAGCAGCCGCGGUAAUACGUAGGGUGCGAGCGUUGUCCGGAAUUAUUGGGCGUAAAGAGCUCGUAGGCGGUCUGUCGCGUCUGCUGUGAAAACCCGAGGCUCAACCUCGGGCCUGCAGUGGGUACGGGCAGACUAGAGUGCGGUAGGGGAGAAUGGAAUUCCUGGUGUAGCGGUGGAAUGCGCAGAUAUCAGGAGGAACACCGAUGGCGAAGGCAGUUCUCUGGGCCGUAACUGACGCUGAGGAGCGAAAGCGUGGGGAGCGAACAGGAUUAGAUACCCUGGCAGUCCACGCCGUAAACGUUGGGCGCUAGAUGUGGGGCACCAUUCCACGGUUUCCGUGUCGCAGCU
rnacentral:rRNA from 1 species